rnacentral:rRNA from 1 species
UGGGGAAUAUUGCACAAUGGGCGGAAGCCUGAUGCAGCGACGCCGCGUGAGGGAUGACGGCCUUCGGGUUGUAAACCUCUUUCAGUAGGGAAGAAGCGUAAGUGACGGUACCUGCAGAAGAAGCGCCGGCUAACUACGUG